rnacentral:rRNA from 1 species
GACGUAGGGGGCCAGCGUUGUUCGGAAUUACUGGGUGUAAAGGGUUCGUAGGCGGUGCGGCAAGUUGGGAGUGAAAUCUCUGGGCUUAACCCAGAGGCUGCUUCCAAAACUGCUGUGCUUGAGUGUGGGAGAGGCGCGUGGAAUUGCAGGUGUAGCGGUGAAAUGCGUAGAUAUCAAGAGGAACACCUGAGGUGAAGACGGGUUGCUGGGCUGACACUGACGCUGAGGCGCGAAAGCCAGGGGAGCAAACGGG